rnacentral:rRNA from 1 species
UACGUGGGGUGCAAGCGUUAUCCGGAUUUACUGGGCGUAAAGCGUCCGUCGGCGGCUGUUCAAGUCGCUGGUUUAAGCCUGGGGCUCAACUCCAGAACAGCCAGCGAAACUGAUCGGCUUGAGUGGGUGAGGGGUAGCUGGAAUUCUCGGUGGAGGGGUGAAAUCCGUAGAUAUCGAGAGGAACGCCAAGCGCGAAGGCAAGCUACUGGCACCAUACUGACGCUCAGGGACGAAAGCUAGGGGAGCCAAG